UACGUAGGGGGCUAGCGUUGUCCGGAAUUAUUGGGCGUAAAGAGCGUGUAGGCGGCCUUUUAAGUCCUGCGUGAAAUCCUGCGGCUCAACCGCAGACGGUCGUGGGAAACUGGAAGGCUAGAGUGCGGGAGAGGAGAGUGGAAUUCCCGGUGUAGCGGUGAAAUGCGCAGAUAUCGGGAAGAACACCCGUGGCGAAGGCGGCUCUCUGGAACGCAACUGACGCUGAGACGCGAAAGCGUGGGGAGCAAGCAGG
rnacentral:rRNA from 1 species